rnacentral:tRNA from 3 species
AGCCCGGUGGUGUAGCGGCCAAGCAUGGCGGGCUUUGGCCCCGCUGACAGCGGUCCGAAUCCGCUCCGGGCUA